CACCAUUGCUCUCUUCAGAUACACCAGAAGAGGGCACCAGACCCUAUUACAGAUGGUUGUGAGCCACCAUGUGGUUGCUGGGAAUUGCAGUUGGUGCUCUUAACUGCUGAGCCACCUCUCCAGCCCCCCACCCCCCACCCCCCAACACACACACACACACACACACACACACACACACACACACACACACUCACACACACACACACACACACACACACACACACACACACACACACACACACACACACGUAGUGUCCGGGUGAUAUGCCUGCAGUAUCAACACUGUGUGCCUGAUGCCAGUGGAGGGCAUCAGAUCCCCUGGAACUAGAGAUACAGAUGGUUUGAACAGACUUGUGUGUGCUGAAGUCCCCUGGAAGAGCAGCCAUUCCUCUUAACUGCUGAGCCAUCUCUCCUGCCGGCAUGUGUCUGUUUCCUAAACAUCUCCCUGACUUCACCAUUGCAUCUGGCACCCUGUCCUUGUUCUGUGCCUCCUGGGUACCAUAGAUUGGUGAGGACAACUGUGUCUUCAAUGGCACAGACCCUGGCCUGGAGGCACGAAACACAGGGCUGCUGUUUACAACCAGGGCUAUUUAUAGAGGAUUCAUGGCAAAAGAGCUAUGUGAUUGAAUAAACGUGGAAAAUUCAGGUUUAAGCAGAUUAAACGGUGCUGUUUAUGGUGAAGCUGUUCAGGUCCUUAAGUUGUUAGAGUGACCGUCCUGGAAGCUGGGACAUACCAGCUGCAUGGCCCACACUAUGACCACAAAAUCACUCUUUUUCGGAACACUUUAGUAGAGUUGGUAAGGGAUAAUUUUAGACAUAUUUAAAUGAUUUAUCCUUGAAUAUGUAAUGUAUGCCUGAGAUUCAAUGAUUCUUAGUACCAGAUUUGGUAGGUUACUGGUCUUAGGCAGUGGUUAGAGAGACCAGUAAGCCUCUGUGUUUUACUACAGCCAGUGGAGAGCCUUGCGGUUCUGGAGUGGCAAACAUCUUUAGGGGGCAGGGUGGGAGACAGGGCUCAGUGGGAAAAGUGCUUGCUACACAAGUAUGAGUUCAGAUCCCCAGGACCCAUGUAAAAAGCCAUACGUGAAGCAGGGUCCCACUUUAAUCUCAGCACUUGGGAGGCAGAGACAGGUGAACCUCUGAGUCUGAGGCCAGCCUGGUUUAUAGAGUAAGUUACAGGAUAGCCAGGGAUAUGCAGAGAAACUCUAUCUUGGUGGUUGGGGGGUGGGGGUGCGGGGUUGGGAGACAUACAUGGUCACAAGUAUCUAUAAUGUAUCUUUAAUUCAUGGGGGGGAUACAAACCUCUGGCUUUCACACAUGUACACAUACACAUGAACAUGUACAUAUGCAUACAGUACAGUACAGUACACACACACACACACACACACACACACACACACAGAGAGAGAGAGAGAGAGAGAGAGAGAGAGAGAGAGAGAGAGAGAGAGAGAAACAGACAGAGACUAGCUUCUUGAGGCUGUGACCCUCAGAGCUGCUUGUUUGCAGGAAGAAAAGUCUGGGUCAAUCCUCUAGGAGAGGAGGCACCCCAGAAGCCCCAGUUCAUUCUCACUUCUCAGUGGAACAGACUUUCCCUGGGGUGGGUGGAGUGUGCAAUGAAGGAGAAAUGAAUGGGUUUAUUAGCUAUCUGCUCUUGCAUAGCAAAUAACUCCCUAAGCUUAGCAGCUUAAAACAACAAUGUCCACGCUCUCACCUGGUUCUUGAGAAUCUGGAAUCUUGGCAGUGCUGAGCUGGUGGGCUGGCUCAGCAUCUCUCCCACACAGAUGGAGUCAAGUUCUCAGUGAGGCACCAGGCAUCUGGAGGUUGACAUGUGCCUGAGGGGCUGCCUCCAAGUUUACCCUGUGGGUCUGGGCUGCUCUCAGAUGCCACAAGCACAUCUACAUGGGACAGCAGAGUGUCUUCAUGACAUGGCAACCCGUGGCCUCCACAGCGAAUGAUCCAAAAAACAAACAAGGGGAGACUACACCACCCCUGCUUGAGCCAGUUUUACAAACUAUCACAUAGGCGGUUUUGCUACAUUCUUUUGGUUUUGAGUUGUUUUACAUUGUAGUAUUUAUGAAGGAUAGUCAGCUCUUCAUACUAGUGGGUUCCACCUCUGUGGUGGGUCACCUUCAUUGUCAACUCGCCAGGAUGUGAUCCUAUAAGAGCUUUCCAAGAAGUAUAACGGGGGGGGGGGGGGAGACCCAUCCGGAACGUGGGCAGCUCCACCCUAUAAGCUGAGCUUCCAGUCUGCAUCAAAAGGGAAAGUCAGCUGAGCCUCAGAUUCAUCUGCCUCUGCUUCCUGACUGUGGACAAAGCAUAACCAGCCACUUCACACCCCUGCUUGCAUUUCUACCAUGAUGGACUGCAUCUCAAAGGUGAGCCAAAAGAAA
rnacentral:lncRNA from 1 species